UACGAAGGGGGCUAGCGUUGCUCGGAAUUACUGGGCGUAAAGCGCACGUAGGCGGUCUUUUAAGUCGGGGUGAAAUCCUGGAGCUCAACUCCAGAACUGCCUUCGAUACUGGAAGACUUGAGUCCGGGAGAGGUGAGUGGAACUGCGAGUGUAGAGGUGAAAUUCGUAGAUAUUCGCAAGAACACCAGUGGCGAAGGCGGCUCACUGGCCCGGUACUGACGCUGAGGUGCGAAAGCGUGGGGAGCAACAGGAUUAGAU
rnacentral:rRNA from 1 species